AAUUGAUUGAAGGAUUGCCUAAGAAAUUUAAGGAAGGUGUGUCUAAGGAUGAGGCUGAAGAUGCUAAGAAACAGCUUGAAGAAGCUGGUGCCAAAGUUUCUAUUGCUUAAAAUAUGAAUUUGUGGUAAAUGUCUUAUUCUUAAUUUGUUUUUGAUUAUCUUUGGGAAAAUUGGUGUACUUUUUUGCAAAGUUUCUAUUGCUUAAUUGAAUUUGUGGUAAAUGUUUAAUCUUAUUUUGUUUUUGAUUAUCUUGGGAAAAUUGAUGUACUUUUUUGUGUUUUUGUAAGAGAAUUCAGUUGUUAGAUAUAGUUUGUUCCCAAUUUUCUAAAAUGAAGAUUUUUCAGCCGAAUUUGAUUAUGGUUCUGCUAACAGUGGCGUAUGGAGCUUUGGUCGUGUGAAAUUCAAUGGAACUCAACAUUUUCUA
rnacentral:lncRNA from 1 species